UACGGAGGGUGCAAGCGUUAAUCGGAAUUAUUGGGCGUAAAGGGCGCGUAGACGGGAAGGCAAGUCAGAUGUUAAAGCCCGGGGCUUAACCCCGGAAAAGCAUUUGAAACUGCCUUUCUUGAGGGUAGAUGGAGAAAACGGAAUUCCACAAGUAGCGGUGAAAUGCGUAGAUAUGUGGAAGAACACCGGUGGCGAAGGCGGUUUUCUAAUUUAUUCCUGACGUUGAGGCGCGAAAGCUAGGGGAGCAAAC
rnacentral:rRNA from 1 species